UACGGAGGUGGCAAGCGUUGUCCGGAAUUACUGGGCGUAAAGGGCGCGUAGGCGGCCUACUAAGUCAGACGUGAAAUCCCCCGGCUUAACCUGGGAACUGCGUCUGAUACUGGAAGGCUUGAGUAUGGGAGAGGGAUGUGGAAUUCCAGGUGUAGCGGUGAAAUGCGUAGAUACCUGGAGGAAUACCGGUGGCGAAGGCGGCAUCCUGGACCAACACUGACACUGAGGAGCGAAAGCCAGGGGAGCAAACGGG
rnacentral:rRNA from 1 species